CCUACGGGAGGCAGCAGUGGGGAAUUUUGGGCAAUGGGCGAAAGCCUGAUCCAGCAAUGCCGCGUGAGUGAAGAAGGCCUUCGGGUUGUAAAGCUCUUUUGUCAGGGAAGAAACGGUGAGGGCUAAUAUCCUUUGCUAAUGACGGUACCUGAAGAAUAAGCACCGGCUAACUACGUGCCAGCAGCCGCGGUAAUACGUAGGGUGCAAGCGUUAAUCGGAAUUACUGGGCGUAAAGCGUGCGCAGGCGGUUUUGUAAGUCUGAUGUGAAAUCCCCGGGCUCAACCUGGGAAUUGCAUUGGAGACUGCAAGGCUAGAAUCUGGCAGAGGGGGGUAGAAUUCCACGUGUAGCAGUGAAAUGCGUAGAUAUGUGGAGGAACACCGAUGGCGAAGGCAGCCCCCUGGGUCAAGAUUGACGCUCAUGCACGAAAGCGUGGGGAGCAAACAGGAUUAGAUACCCUGGUAGUCCACGCCCUAAACGAUGUCUACUAGUUGUCGGGUCUUAAUUGACUUGGUAACGCAGCUAACGCGUGAAGUAGACCGCCUGGGGAAGUACGGUCGCAAGAUUAAAACUUAAAUGAAUUGACGG
rnacentral:rRNA from 1 species